AUUGAACGCUGGCGGCAUGCUUUACACAUGCAAGUCGAACGGUAACAGGCCGCAAGGUGCCGGCGAGUGGCGAACGGGUGAGUAAUACAUCGGAACGUGCCCUGUAGUGGGGGAUAACUAGUCGAAAGAUUAACUAAUACCGCAUACGACCUGAGGGUGAAAGUGGGGGACCGCAAGGCCUCAUGCUAUAGGAGCGGCCGAUGUCUGAUUAGCUAGUUGGUGGGGUAAAGGCCUACCAAGGCGACGAUCAGUAGCUGGUCUGAGAGGACGAUCAGCCACACUGGGACUGAGACACGGCCCAGACUCCUACGGGAGGCAGCAGUGGGGAAUUUUGGACAAUGGGCGAAAGCCUGAUCCAGCAAUGCCGCGUGUGUGAAGAAGGCCUUCGGGUUGUAAAGCACUUUUGUCCGGAAAGAAAUGGCUCUGGUUAAUACCUGGGGUCGAUGACGGUACCGGAAGAAUAAGGACCGGCUAACUACGUGCCAGCCGCCGCCGUAACAC
rnacentral:rRNA from 1 species